AGAGUCAUUUUCAUGGUUUCAAAAGAACAGAUUUUUUGAAAGGACAACCGAAUUCCAUGGUUUCAUGUAUUUAUGUCAUACGUGGUCCAUUUUACUUUUUAAAUUUAUUUUUCAUGUUAUGCUUAUUCUUCUUGGGCAACUCUUAUUUAUUUUCUGUCUUCCUUCUUUUUAAGGAUGAAUUUCUUAAGCAAUAUUUUGAGGGAAGAGGGCGGUUUUGAUUACAAGAAAGCAAUUGUUGAUUCAAUUGUUAUCCUUAUAAGAGACAUCCCAGAUGCCAAAGAAAAUGGGCUACUUCACCUUUGUGAAUUUUGCGAUAUCUCAUAAUUCACUAUGUUUUCUUUAUUCUGAGAAGAGGAAUGGUUAACCAUUUGUUUGCAGGUUCGUGAUAGGGCUACUCUAUAUCUGAAUAUGCUUGAAGUUGAUGGUGCAAUUGUUGAAACUGAUAAAGAUGUGAAGAACUUCCUUUUUGGGUCUUUGGAUGUGCCAUUAGUCAACCUGGAGAUGAGUUUGAAGAACUACGUUCAAGAACCUUCAGAAGAGCCUUUUGAUAUUGAUUCUGUACCUAAGGAGGUUAAGUGUCUUCCACUUGCCGAGAAGAAGGCCCCUGGUAAAAAGCCAACUGGUUUAGGUGCUGCUCCAACUGCUCUCACGUCCACUGUUGAUGCUUAUGAAAAGCUUCUUUCCUCUAUCCCAGAGUUCUCGAGCUUUGGGAAGCUUUUCAAGUCUUCGGCACCUGUGGAGCUUACAGAGGCUGAAACAGAAUAUGCAGUUAAUGCUGUUCAGCACAUUUUUGAUAGGCAUGUGGUGUUCCAGUACAACUGCACAAAUUCAAUUCCCGAGCAAUUACUGGAAAAUGUCACCGUUGUUGUGGAUGCUUCUAACACCGAGGAAUUUACUGAAGUGUCAACAAGGCCUCUAAGAUCUCUUCCAUAUGAUUCACCAGGACAAACAUUUGUGGUAUUUGAGAAACCAGAAGGAGUCCCACAGUUGGAAAAUUCUCGAACAUGUUGAAGUUUAUUGUGAAAGAGCAGCAGAAACAGGAAAGAGAAUGGUUUGCAGUGAGUUUCAAGCCAGAGAAUUUCAUUCCAGGUCUAGUCAUUGGUUUCCUUUUUGGGUUGUUCUUGGACUUAUCAAAACCCAUCAAAAACAAUAAUAAUACUACUCCUAAGAAGGCGGCCAAUCUCUUACUGGGAAAGUAGCAAAGACUGGUCUCAACUAACACUGAUGAAGAGCUUAAAAUGGUACUGUCUCUUAUUGUACAGCCUCAGUUCUUUGUUCACUCUGCUUUUUAUCUUUCUUUAAACAUUGCAGUGUUGCUUGGAAGGCCCUUUGUUGAAUUUUGAUUGCAGUGUUGUAAGAUAUAUACGAUUCUAUUCAAUUUCUUAUAUAGUCCUGUAAGCACAUAAAGGUGAAAGAUGUAGGUAUUCAUAUGCUUUAGAAGAUUUUGGUUAUUUAUUCAAAUUUCUUAAGCAAACCAAGUACUCUGAUCAGUUAUGUCGUAUGUGUGGAUCCGUUUUUUCUUUUCCAGGUAGAAGACUGCCCCAUAAUUAGUAGCUGGGCUAAGUUUUAUCCAUCGAAUUGCUGAAUGUGAGCUUGUUUUCUUCCAGGAUGAUAAUAGGAAGUGGGAUGUUAGAGAAGACCUUAGAUGUUCUAUGGCUUAGGAUGCAGAGACUAUCAAGAACGAGAGCUGAAGCAUCAAUAAAGAUCCAAAAUGUGUGGAACUAUCAAUAAAUGCAGACAAAGACAAAUUGCAAGCACAGCUACCUAAGGAUAUACCAUUGGAUUUUCAGAAAAAGGUUAUUAUAGCCAAACAAGAGAAGCAAGAAGCCAACUCUGAUAUUUUGUUGGGAAAAAAUGAAACUUACAAUCAUCUUAUGGGUAUGUAAACAGUGGGAAUUAACUGCUUAUGCAAAAAGGGUUAACUGAAUUCUCGUCUUAUGGGUAUGUAAACAGUGGGAAUUAACUGCUUAUGCAAAAAUGGUUAACUGAAUUCUUUCUUCAAGAAGCAUAGUGUAUGGUAGUUGAACCAUGUUUUGAACAUAUAUGUCUUCUAUCAAUGGUCUAAUGGCAAUUCAUAGAAA